GACAGAGGCCCCAAGCCGUUAGGCGGAAUCACUGGGCUUAAAGCGUGUGUAGGCGGAUCGUUAAGUGUCUUGUGAAAUCCCACGGCUCACCCGUGGAACGGCUGGGCAUACUGGCGAUCUUGGGCCAACUAGGGGCAGUCGGAACAAGCGGUGGAGCGGUGAAAUGCGUAGAUAUCGCUUGGAACGCCGAAGGUGAAAACAGACUGCUGGGGUUGCGCCGACGCUGAGACACGAAAGCCAGGGGAGCAAACGGG
rnacentral:rRNA from 1 species